GGAGAGGUGUCCGAGUGGUUGAAGGAGCUACCCUGGAAAGGUAGUAUACGGGCAACUGUAUCGAGGGUUCGAAUCCCUCUCUCUCCGCCA
rnacentral:tRNA from 1 species